rnacentral:rRNA from 1 species
UCAACGGAGAGUUUGAUCCUGGCUCAGGAUGAACGCUGGCGGCGGGUCUAACACAUGCAAGUCGAGGGACGAACCGAGGUGCUUG